rnacentral:rRNA from 1 species
AACGAACGCUGGCGGCAGGCCUAACACAUGCAAGUCGAGCGCCCCGCAAGGGGAGCGGCGGACGGGUGAGUAACACGUGGGAAUUUUCCUCAAGGUACGGAACAACUCAGGGAAACUUGGGCUAAUACCGUAUGAUGCAGAGAUGCCAAAGAUUUAUCGCCUUGGGAUAAGCCCGCGUCAGAUUAGGUAGUUGGUGAGGUAACGGCUCACCAAGCCUGUGAUCUGUAGCUGGUCUGAGAGGACGAUCAGCCACAUUGGGACUGAGACACGGCCCAAACUCCUACGGGAGGCAGCAGUGGGGAAUUUUGCGCAAUGGGCGAAAGCCUGACGCAGCCAUGCCGCGUGAAUGAUGAAGGUCUUAGGAUUGUAAAGUUCUUUCGCCUGUGACGAUGAUGACGGUAACAGGAGAAGAAGCCCUGGCUAACUUCGUGCCAGCAGCCGCAGUAAGAC